rnacentral:rRNA from 1 species
UACGUAGGGGGCUAGCGUUGUUCGGAAUUACUGGGCGUAAAGCGCGCGCAGGCGGCUAUCCAAGUCAGUGGUGAAAGCCCGGAGCUCAACCCCGGAACUGCCAUUGAAACUGUCUAGCUAGAGGACGAGAGAGGUGAGUGGAAUUCCUAGUGUAGAGGUGAAAUGCGUAGAUAUUGGGAAGAACACCGGUGGCGAAGGCGGCUCACUGGCUCGUUUCUGACGCUCAGGCGCGACAGCGUGGGGAGCAAACAGG